UUCUGUGAUUUCAGGAGGACAGAAAGAAACUCUACAUAACAGAAGGGAAGCUCCAAGAUUUUAACAUUUCUAAAGGGAGCUACUGACUUAGAAAUACAGAUUCUUCAGUGGUGAUGGCCUGCUGCACCCAGCAGAGUUGGAGUGAACCUACUGUCAGACAGUGGCGUACCGUGGGGUUUCAGUCAGGGCCUUCAAGCCAGCAGAGAAGGCCCUGCUUCCCCUGACAGCCCACCACUGCUGUCAGACGACAUCUCCAAGAUGCUAUAAACCACAGGGCU